rnacentral:rRNA from 1 species
GACGUAGGAGGCGAGCGUUAUCCGGAUUUAUUGGGCGUAAAGGGCAAGUAGGCGGUUGUCAAAGUUGGGCGUGACAGACCCUGGCUUAACUGGGGGAGGUCGUUCAAAACUAGGCAACUAGAGGACAGAAGAGGAAAGCAGAACUCCUGAUGUAGCGGUGGAAUGCUCAGAUAUCAGGAAGAAUACCAGUGGCGAAGGCGGCUUUCUGGUCUGUACCUGACGCUGAGAGGCGAAGGCCAGGGUAGCGAACGGGCUUAGAUACCCCGGUAGUCCUGGCAGUAAACGGUGGAUACUAGGUAUCAGGGGUCAAGGCCUUUGGUGCCGAAGCCAACGCGUUAAGUAUCCCGCCUGGGGACUACGGCCGCAAGGUUAAA